GCACAAGCGGUGGAGCAUGUGGUUCAAUUCGACGCAACGCGAAGAACCUUACCUGGGCUCGAAAUGUAGUGGACCGGGGUAGAAAUAUCCCUUUCUCGCAAGAGACUGCUAUAUAGGUGCUGCAUGGCUGUCGUCAGCUCGUGUCGUGAGAUGUUGGGUUAAGUCCCGCAACGAGCGCAACCCUUAUCUUUAGUUGCCAUCAGGUCAAGCUGGGCACUCUAACGAAACCGCACAGGAUAACUGUGAGGAAGGUGGGGAUGACGUCAAGUCCUCAUGGCCUUUAUGUCCAGGGCUACACACGUGCUACAAUGGUCGGUACAAACCGUCGCAAACCUGCGAAGGGGAGCUAAUCGGAAAAAGCCGGCCUCAGUUCGGAUUGGAGUCUGCAACUCGACUCCAUGAAGCUGGAAUCGCUAGUAAUCGCAGAUCAGAACGCUGCGGUGAAUACGUUCCCGGGC
rnacentral:rRNA from 1 species